AAAGCUUUAGCUUAAUUAAAGUGUCUGUUUUGCAUGCAGAAGAUGUGGGUUAGUACCCCGCAAGUUUUA
rnacentral:tRNA from 2 species